rnacentral:lncRNA from 1 species
UUGUACCGGCGUAUGGGGAGGUUAUGUGGGAUACAGAGAAAUGAAUUAAGAUAUCGCUCAAGUGUGGAAUGGGAUUUUAGGAAGAACUACGUGUGGCUUGAUCCCUCAAGGAGGGUACGUAGGCAGCCUAAGGUUAUUAGGCGCAGCCGCAGACUAAAUAUUAGUCAUAAUUUGUAUUUGAAUGGUUUGGUAGUUGGAUAGGAAUUAUUGAAAGGCCGAAGGCCAUUUGUGUGAAUUGCAUGAAAUUAUAUUGUGCAUGCUGCCAGUUGGGAAUAUUAAAUGCGUUUUUAUGCAGGUUGAAAUUUUGAGAAAUGUCCAAUUUAUAGGGGAGACUCUGCCGGAAUUUCGGCAGGAAGUCUCGGUUUUUAGUAAGUGGGCCUGGCAUCGGGGUGAUGUCAGGAAUUCCAAAGGGUUCGUCUCGGGUUUUGAGAAAAUUCGGGGCGGGUCUUUAAAGUUGGUAUCAGAGCUCUAGGUUCAAUUCCCUGUGGACCCAGCACUUUAUGUGCAUCCUUAAAUUGUGGGGAUCAAAAUGGGUUCCAUCUCGGAAUGGUACAUUUGCAACGUUGAUGACGUCAUAAAAGUCAAGUUAUUUCACAGAGGAAAGAUACAUAGGCCGCCGGAGCAUAGGAAGGGCUGGAGCUUUACCACAGACAGUGGUUGUUUCAGAAGUUCCGGAAGAUUGCGAAUAGAAGCCGAAAGUUUGCAUAGGGUAAGACCUGUACUUAUGGUACAGUUGGAUGUCCCUAUGACAAAGUUGUCCGUUGAGUCCGCAUAAGCAGGAGGUAGGGAGUUGAUCAACCUGCUUCUAGGGAUCCUCCAUUGCCUGAACAUGUUGCUAAUUUUCGAUUGUGUGCCUAGAGCACCGAGUCGAAGAUCCUAAGAGCAUAACCUCUCUCUGGGACAAGCAACUCCCCGACAUUGGAUCAAGGGAUCCAAGGUCUGAAAGGUGGUGUUAGAAUAAUCGAAAUCACAAGUGUGAAAAAAAAAAAAUAGCCUUAAUUCUCUUACAGAAAGAGGCUCGUGUGUGGUGGGAAUACUGUGGUCAAGUCUAAGGACGAGACCCAGAUGGAUUGAGAAAUCCUACCUAUGGAGAUGGAGAGAGUACUUUGGGGUCUCAUCUCACGUGAGCACGUUUGAGUAGAGAUCUUUCAUUGGAAUCAGAAAUGGAUCAUGGUCGAGAGAGAUCGAUGAUGAUUACAAUUCGGUAAAAAUGAUCAUUUCUGACUUUUCUCUCAAGGAAUCGUGUUAGCAAAUUAAAGGGAGAAGUAGUGGAGUUGGGUGUAACCGUACUUCAUUCGCGUGGGCUUGAAUGCCGCGAUUGACAGGAGUGGAACAUUAGGGUUCUUCCUCCUUGCUCUCUCACGUGAGCUCGCCAUAGUUAGAGAAGGAGACUUCUCUUUCUCUGCUUGCUUAGCUAGAGCUUUUGGCUUGGUUGCCAACGCGAUUGUGGAGAAAGAACUUGGGAACCCGAGUGGUAGAUGCGGGCCCCAUACUCACAACCCUUCGAGUGACGAGGUAGGAAAUUUCGGGGACGAAAUUUUUAUAAGGGGGGUAGUCUGUAACACCCCGACCCCAAAUUUUCCCAAAUUUUACCCUCAUUUAAUUAUUUAAUUAUUUAAGGGUAUUUUAGUCAUAUUUUUAACCGGAGAGAGUUUGGGACCGUGACUUAUAUUUUUGGAUAGGUCGUACUGAGACGAGUUCACAGACACGUAGUGGGCUCGAAUCGGAGUUGUAACGAGAGAGAUAUGGUCAAAAGAAGUCCAGUGGCAUAAUCGUAAAUAUUUCGAAAUGGGAUUUUUUCUAAAAAUCUGGUUUCUCUCUCUCUCCUCUCUCUCUCUCCCGCGACCUCUCCCUCUCUCCCGUCAGCUCUCCCUCUCUCGCUCCUCGCAACUCCGGCCACCGGCCAUGGCUGUGGACGGGGCCGGUACCAAAAUGACCGGGGCGUCGUCCUCUUCCAGCCCCAGCCGUCUCCCGCCUCCAGCCGCCGUGGUUUCGCCGGAAAAUGGAGGAGAAGCGGCCGGCGUCGUCCGAUCUUCGCCGCCGUCGAUCUCCCUCCUCCGGCCACCAAAUCCAACGAGCAAGGUAUGGUUUCUCACCUAUUUUUCAUGCUCUAGCUGCCUGUUGGGUAGGAUUAGAUCGAUUCGUAGCGUAGGCAAUUCGAUUUUCGAAUUGAAAAUCGGCCGAACUUCGGCCGCCGUGAUCGGGCAUUUCCGGUCACUUUUUGGGGUAGGUCCAAGAACAAAAGUGACUCCAAAUGAGGUGUUUUACCUAGGAUAGGAGUUUGGAGUCUUGGUUCCGAGAUUUUUCGACGAACCAUAAUCGCUUUGGACACCCGAUCUGCCCGCGUGUGUGGCAGCGCGUGGGCGAGGGUGGUGGAGUGACUCUGGGCAGUUUUGAGAUCCUCGUGCCGUCACGAGUGCGUAGGAUUUCGCGGAUCUCAAUUCGGACGUCGUUUGACUAUCGAACGGAUAAUCGCAUAUUAUGCGUUAUCUGGGUUUGAUAGGUUGGGACCGUCGGAUGGUCCCAAAUUUAAUAUAUGUUAAUCUAGGUAUUUCUAGGAUCGUGUAGGAAUUUACGGAUCGUGAAUCAGAACCCCGGAUGUUCCGAAUAAUAAUUUAAAGUUUAUAUUUUAUAUUAACCGUCAGAUCGUGCGAUCGUGAGCGAUCCGACCGUCCGAUCUGAACCAAACUUGCAGGACAAGUGUCCUAUACCUGGUAGAACCCAUAGGGACUUCCGGAUCGGAAAUUGGAGGUCGUGGGUUCUGCAGGUCCGGUUGACCAGGGUUAGAAUUGUUUGACCCUUGGUUGACCGUGAGUCUUCCGGUGUAAUCCCACCUUUUAAGGGGGGAUUAUCGGGUGCUAGACCAUUGUGGAGGAUUACACAAUAUAAGAAUUAAUUUAUAUAAAUAUAAUCAUAUGUGGUUGUACAAGGGUACAACAGAGUCUAGAAUGUCAGUUUGGAGUGCUAUACGCACUACUUUAGGUACCUCAUCGGACUUUGGAUUCACUACAUGCACCACCAAGUGAAAGCUAGGUCCCGCGUGGCGUAGGUUAUCCAGCGUUGGGACAGGCCCCAUGCGUGGCGUUGGUUGUACCGGCGUAUGGGGAGCUAUUGUGAUAUUGUGUUGAGGUCGCACGUGGCGUAGGUUAUCCGGCGUGUCGACAGACCCCAUACGUAGCGUUGGUUGUACCGGCGUAUGGGGAGAUUUGUGAUGUGAUGUUGAGGUCCCGCGUGGCGUAGGUAAUCCGGCGUUGGGACAGGCCCCACACGUGGCGUUGGUUGUACCGGCGUAUGGGGAGUUAUGUGAUAUGAUUUGCAGGUCUCACAUGGCGUAGGUUAUCCGGCGUUGAGACAGACCCCAUACGUGGCGUUGGUUGUACCGGCGUAUGGGGAGAUAUUAUGAUAGUAUGGCAUGGUCGCACGUGGCGUAGGUUAUCCGGCGUGUUGACAGGCCCCAUACGUGGUGUUGGUUGUACCGGCGUAUGGGGAGGUUAUGUGGGAUAUAGAGAAAUGAAUUAAGAUAUCGCUCAAGUGUGGAAUGGGAUUUUAGGAAGAACUACGUGUGGCUUGAUCCCUCAAGGAGGGUACGUAGGCAGCCUAAGGUUAUUAGGCGCAGCCGCAGACUAAAUAUUAGUCAUAAUUUGUAUUUGAAUGGUUUGGUAGUUGGAUAGGAAUUAUUGAAAGGCCGAAGGCCAUUUGUGUGAAUUGCAUGAAAUUAUAUUGUGCAUGCUGCCAGUUGGGAAUAUUAAAUGCGUUUUUAU